AAUCUCCCUACCGCUAUACUGCGCACGCGCGGACUCUGAUAGCCUGAUUAAAGCCUUUUCUGGGAACAGGUCAGUCUCUCCCUGCUCCCAACACUCUCAGCCAUCCGAGGGGACGGUGUAGUUUAUUAGGGGGGUUUCAGUGCAUUAUAUUUGGGGGGUCUGCGCAGUAUAUGGGGGGUCGGUGCUGUAUAUGGGCGGCAGUAUAUGGGGGGUCUGUGCUGUAUAUGGGGGUCUGCGCAGUAUAUGGGGGGGUCUGCACAGUAUAUUGUGGGGGGUAUGCGCUGUAUAUGGGGGGGUCUGCACAGUAUAUGGUGUGGUCUGCGCUGUAUAUUGGGGUCUGCGCUGUAUAUGGUAGGGUCUGCGCAGUAUAUUGUGGGGGGGUCUGCGCAGUAAAUGGGGGAGCUGUCUGCGCUGUAUAUGGGGGGUCUGUGCAGUAUAUUGGGGGCUGUCUACGCAGUAUAUGGGGGGUCUGCGCAGUAUAUUGGGGGGUCUGUGAAGUAUAUUGGGGUGGCCUGUGUGCUAGAUGUGGGGGGCAGUAUGUUAGAUGGAGGGGCUGUUCGUUACAUGUGGGGGGGCAGUGUAUUAUAUUUGGGGACUGUGCGUUAGAUGGGGAGCUGUACAGUACGUAUGGCCUGUGUGUUAGAUGUGUACAACCCUAGUUUCACAGAAAAAUAUUUAUUUCCUAGAUAUCAUAUGCCAUGGCAUGCUUUUUGCUAUGAAACCGCAGCCGUCUAGUCACUUGCCAGAGAAGGAUGAGAAACUGCACCCCAGCGAGAGGGACUGCCCCACAUCUGCAACCAAAUCCGUUGGUCACCGAAUUCAGUAAUCUCCGUCUCUUUGUGCAUCGUGUAUGUAUGGUACUCCCAAUUCUUAUAUUUAAUCCGGUGUGUCUCCCACAAUCUUUGUGUCUGUCUGCUAUAUGUAUGUGGCACGCAAGUCUAUUAUGCCAGCUACUCUAACCAGUUUAUUUUUGUGUGUGUCAAAGCUCUGACAAGCAUGUUCUCAUAUGGGACACGAAGUACAUGAAGAGGAAUGAAGAAGCCCAUGUCUGAUGCUCGUCUCCAGGGUGGAGUAUUGAAUUUAUAAGUAAUGAAGUGGCAUCUGACACAUGACAAGCUGCUCCUGUUUGCACAGCAACUUCAACAUUGUGUACUGUGAUCACGGCAUAGUUCAAAGGUAGGUAACCUUGGGCAGUCCAGAUGCUGUGAAUUACAUCCCCCAUAAUGCUGGCAAACCAUUAUGGGAGGUGUAGUCCAAAACAUCUGGAAUACCGAAUGCGUAUGAAUGAAAAGUAUGGUGUCUGUGAAUGGUCAGUAACAAGGGUUGAAGCCUUGACGUGGCAUUACUGCUCACAUGUGUAUUCAUGUGCCAAUUCAACCAAUGUGAGUCACUGUAAUACUUAGAAGGUAACCAAAAGUACUGUGAUUGUGGAGAAUGAAACGCCUCUAUCACCUACACACUGUUUACACUGUGACCAUAUCUCCUAUACACUGCUUAAACUGUGACCGUAUCUCCUAAACACUGCUCAUACUGUGACCGUAUCUCCUAAACAUUGCUUACACUGUGACCGUAUCCCAUAAACACUGCUUACACUGUGACCGUAUCUCCUAAACACUGCUUACACUGUGACUGUAUCUCCUAAACACUGCUUACACUGUGACUGUAUCUCCUAAACACUGCUUACACUGUGACCGUAUCCCAUAAACACUGCUUACACUGUGACUGUAUCUCCUAAACACUGCUUACACUGUGACCGUAUCCCAUAAACACUGCUUACACUGUGACCGUAUCUCCUAAACACUGCUUACACUGUGACCGUAUCUCCUAAACACUGCUUACACUGUGACCGUAUCUCCUAAACACUGCUCAUACUGUGACCGUAUCUCCUAAACACUGCUCACACUGUGACCCUAUCACCUAAACACUGCUUACACUGUAAGCACAGACCUGCUUUUAUUCAAAAUUGAAAGUGCUCGAUCAUUCUUUCUAUUCUACGCCUCCAAUCUUCAACAUUGAAAUUGUCAUUUCUAAUAAUAUAAAAUAAGUAAUAUGCUUUCUGGUUACGAUUUGGUGAGUUGUAACUAUAUAUUUUAUUUUUACAGUUUCAGAGGGAAGGAGCAAACCGCUUUGAGGAGUCCCUGCGUAAGAGACUAUUGGAUACUGAAGGGCUGUACUGCAGUGUCGGCUCUAGACUUGGCGAGGCCUUAGGCGAAACUCAUACAUGAGACCCCACGGAGAACACCAUUAUUGAAGAAAAAAUAGCAGGUGACUUUGUGUAUAAGAAGCUGUAGAUAUAUUGAUGGUGGAGCUCAGUGGUGUAUCCUGGUUUUGUGCUGCCCUAGGCAGGACAAAACUCAGACGCCCCCCU